GUGAGUCAAUAUCGUUAAUUGUAUAUAUUAAAAAAAUACCCGAGAUAAACGAACAAUGUGUAACCCUAACCCUUAAAUGUAAACACCAGGCUACUCGACAAGAAAAUGUAACGAACCACCUGAGGCUUUACUUUACCUCAGAGAUAAUGCGUUAGUUAAUAAUGAUAUGCCGUGUGGCAUAUCAUGCGGCAUCUCAUGCGGCAUCUGCGCAUAGUGCUGCUGCGUAGGCCUACAUGGACGUUCCAAUGAUGGCAGAAACAAAACCCAAGAACCUCUGGGAACUGAAAAAGCCUGAAUGUUCACUUCAGGUUCGCAUUCAGGAACAUCACUUGUUGCGCCUUGGAGGGAGACAGACGGCUGCGCCUCUCUGAAAUGAUCAGCCCCAUCCUGCUGAACACGCGUUCAGAUGGCACUGACGUGGCGACCACAGACAAUCUCUCCAGCAUCAGCUGAGUGAGCCGCGGAUAGAUCAACGAUCUACUUUUCCACCAGGUCAGAGGGUUGGAGGACCUAGGGAUCAGUGCCUCUUGCAGGAAGGACCGGAUCUCGAGGGUCGCUUCCGCACCUGCACUAAGGUGACUAACGAGCCCUGAGACCUGCUCGUCAAAGUCACCCCAGACCAUGCUCUCCUCUGUGGCUUGUCCCCCCGCAGCUCCUUCUUCCACCAGAGCUUCCUGCUGGGAUGGAUUGGAGAUGGUCACCUGUGCUGCAGCAGUUGUGAGCCUUUGGAUGGCCUCGGUGGCUGCCUGGUCAUCAGAGAAGGACUUCCUCUUGAAUCUGGGGUCAAGGAUGGAGGAUUCAGACAGCAAGGCGUUGAACUCGAUCCUAUGGAAACGCUUUGCCAUCUCAGCGUUGAGUGAGGUUAAAAGUGACACCACCACAGGCUGCUUGAAGCAUCCAAACCUCAGGUGGUUUGCAUGACCCUCUGCAGACCCCGUGCCAAAAUAAUGAUUUUGGAGGCAGUCACGUAGCUACAGAUAGGACACAGAAAGGACAGAGUUACAGUGGGUCAUCUUUGUUAUGUG
ensembl:lncRNA